GCCUACAACAUAGCAUUAAUGCAACAUAUUCCAUUAGAACUCUGCAGUUAAGCACUCUUAGGCUAGAGUAGUAUUGGGAUGGGUGAUCGCCAUAUAUAAUUGAGGCGAAGGAGGCC
rnacentral:rRNA from 1 species